UACGUAGGGGGCAAGCGUUGUCCGGAAUCAUUGGGCGUAAAGCGCGUGUAGGCGGCCCGAUUAGUCCGCUGUGAAAGUCCAGGGCUCAACCCUGGGAUGCCGGUGGAUACUGUCGGGCUCGAGUCCGGAAGAGGCGAGUGGAAUUCCUGGUGUAGCGGUGAAAUGCGCAGAUAUCAGGAGGAACACCCGUGGCGAAGGCGGCUCUCUGGGACGGUACUGACGCUGAGACGCGAAAGCGUGGGGAGCGAACAGG
rnacentral:rRNA from 1 species